GCCUAAUCAGAGUUGUUUAAAAUUCAAACAAUCAGUUGCGGGUUAUCUUGUUUUUUUCGAGCGAACAGUGGGAAAUUCUUAUGCACUGUUCUUGAAGUCUGAUGUAGGAGAGUGGAGGACUUCAUGAAGCAAUCCGAUGCUGCUCCAGACUCUGAUGAUUUAAAGUAUCGCUUUAUCAAGCAAGUUGAGGAUCAAGUAUAUGAGGAUAGGGCUACUCUUCAAGAGCUGACGAGGUGUUUUGAUGGACUGCAUCUUGGUAUGUUUACGAGAGACCAAGUGUCCAGAAACCUGAUGGUGAUGCCUUCAACUGCCGUACGUGACCUUUGUGUUGUCAGUAAUAUAGAGUGCGGAGAUAGAGACUUAGAGUUCAUGGCGAUGCUCAAAGAUAUACAUAGAGAAGUUCAGUACUCGAUGGAGUUGAAGCUAAAAUUUCUUAGUUUUUGCUGUUAGAUUAUUAAAUUUCGUUGUUCAGUACUCGAUGUAAUUGUUGAUCUAUCCUCAUAUGUUAUAGAUAAAUUUCAAUUCUAUUAAUCUUUGUGGAGCAUUUUAUUUUUA